UACGAAGGGGGCUAGCGUUGUUCGGAUUUACUGGGCGUAAAGCGCACGUAGGCGGAUAGUUAAGUGAGGGGUGAAAUCCCAGGGCUCAACCCUGGAACUGCCUUUCAUACUGGCUAUCUAGAGUCCGGAAGAGGUGAGUGGAACUCCUAGUGUAGAGGUGGAAUGCGCAGAUAUCAGGAAGAACACCAAUGGCGAAAGCAGCUUUCUGGGACGGUACUGACGCUGAGACGCGAAAGCGUGGGGAGCGAACAGG
rnacentral:rRNA from 1 species